rnacentral:rRNA from 1 species
CUGGCUCAGGAUGAACGCUAGCGGCAGGCUUAACACAUGCAAGUCGAGGGGCAGCGGGAGUAGCAAUACUCUGCCGGCGACCGGCGGAAGGGUGCGUAACGCGUGAGCAACCUGCCCGUAACCGGGACAUAACCGAUGGAAACGUCGCCUAAUUUCCCAUAACAACAGGGUCGGCAUCGACCUUGUUUGAAAGCUACGGUGGUUACGGAUGGGCUCGCGAGACAUUAGCUGGUUGGUAGGGUAACGGCCUACCAAGGCUACGAUGUCUAGGGGUUCUGAGAGGAAGGUCCCCCACACUGGAACUGAGACACGGUCCAGACUCCUACGGGAGGCAGCAGUGAGGAAUAUUGGUCAAUGGGCGGAAGCCUGAACCAGCCAUGCCGCGUCCAGGAAUUAAAGGCCCUAUGGGUCGUAAACUGCUUUUGUGCGGGAGCAAUAAGGGCUACGUGUAGCCUGAUGAGAGUACCGUACGAAUAAGCAUCGGCUAACUCCGUGCCAGCCGCUGC